rnacentral:rRNA from 1 species
UACGUAGGGUGCGAGCGUUAAUCGGAAUUACUGGGCGUAAAGCGUGCGCAGGCGGGUGUGCCAGACAGGUGGGAAAUCCCCGGGCUUAACCUGGGAACUGCAUUUGUGACUGCACGGCUAGAGUGUGUCAGAGGGGGGUAGAAUUCCACGUGUAGCAGUGAAAUGCGUAGAUAUGUGGAGGAGUACCGAUGGCGAAGGCAGCCCCCUGGGAUAACACUGACGCUCAUGCACGAAAGCGUGGGGAGCAAACAGG